GUGGGGAAUUUUGGACAAUGGGGGCAACCCUGAUCCAGCCAUGCCGCGUGCGGGAAGAAGGCCUUCGGGUUGUAAACCGCUUUUGUCAGGGAAGAAAUCCUUUGGGUUAAUACCUCGGAGGGAUGACGGUACCUGAAGAAUAAGCACCGGCUAACUACGUGCCAGCAGCCGCGGUAAUACGUAGGGUGCGAGCGUUAAUCGGAAUUACUGGGCGUAAAGCGUGCGCAGGCGGUUUUGUAAGACAGUGGUGAAAUCCCCGGGCUCAACCUGGGAAGUGCCAUUGUGACUGCAGGGCUAGAGUGCGGCAGAGGGGGAUGGAAUUCCGCGUGUAGCAGUGAAAUGCGUAGAUAUGCUACGGAACACCGAUUGCGAAGGCAGCUUACUAUUUCGUAAUUGACGCUGAGGCACGAAAGCGUGGGUAGCGAACAGGAUUAGAUACCCUGGUAUCC
rnacentral:rRNA from 1 species